rnacentral:rRNA from 2 species
UAGGGAAUCUUCCGCAAUGGGCGAAAGCCUGACGGAGCAACGCCGCGUGAGUGAUGAAGGUCUUCGGAUCGUAAAACUCUGUUAUUAGGGAAGAACAAAUGUGUAAGUAACUAUGCACGUCUUGACGGUACCUAAUCAGAAAGCCACGGCUAACUACGUGCCAGCAGCCGCGGUAAUACGUAGGUGGCAAGCGUUAUCCGGAAUUAUUGGGCGUAAAGCGCGCGUAGGCGGUUUUUUAAGUCUGAUGUGAAAGCCCACGGCUCAACCGUGGAGGGUCAUUGGAAACUGGAAACCUUGAGUGCAGAAGAGGAAAGUGGAAUUCCAUGUGUAGCGGUGAAAUGCGCAGAGAUAUGGAGGAACACCAGUGGCGAAGGCGACUUUCUGGUCUGUAACUGACGCUGAUGUGCGAAAGCGUGGGGAUCAAACAGG